CAGCCGCCGCGGUAACACCGGCAGCCCAAGUGGUAGCCAUGCUUAUUGGGUCUAAAGCGUCCGUAGCCGGCCGGGUAAGUUCCUUGGGAAAUUUGACCGCUUAACGGUCAAGCUUUCAGGGAAUACUGCUUGGCUUGGGACCGGGAGAGGUCAGAGGUACUCCAAGGGUAGGGGUGAAAUCCAUUAAUCCUUGRGGGACCACCRGUAGCGAAGGCGUCUGACCAGACCGGGUCCGACGGUGAGGGACGAAGGCUAGGGUCGCGAACCGGAUUAGAUACCCGGGUAGUCCUAGCUGUAAACGAUGCGGGCCAGGUGUUGGCAUUACUGCGAGUGAUGYCAGUGCCGAAGGGAAGCCGUUAAGCCCGCCAUCUGGGGAGUACGGUCGCAAGGCUGAAACUUAAAGGAAUUGGCGGGGGAGCAC
rnacentral:rRNA from 1 species